rnacentral:SRP_RNA from 1 species
UGCCGGUCCCCCCGCAAUGAGCAGCUGUGAACUCCGCCAGGCCCGGAAGGGAGCAACGGUAGCAGUGCGCGCAUGUGCCGGGGUGUGGCUGGUAGGG